rnacentral:rRNA from 1 species
GGUCUUGUACCCUGGCUAUGCUCAGUAACACGUGAAAAAAACCCUUAGGUGGGGAUAAACCGGGAAACUGGGGUAAUUCCCCAUAGAUACAGAAGGCUGGAAUGCCUCUGUAUUCAAAGCUCCGGCGCCUAAGGAUGAGUCUGCGAUUAUCAGGUAGUAGUCAGGGUCACGACCUGACUAGCCAACGACGGGUACGGGGUGUGAGAGCACUUGCCCGGAGAUGGUUUCUGAGACACGAAACCAGGCCCUACGGGGCGCAGCAGGCGCGAAAACUUCGCAAUGCGGGAAACCGUGACGAGGGAACUCCAAGUGUCUAUGCAAUGCAUAGACUGUUUUUCAGCCUAAAUAGCUGUUAGAGUAAGGGGUGGGUAAGAUUCUUGUUGCCAGCCGCCGCGGUAACACCGGGCACCCCGAGUGGGUAGCCACUAUUAUCUGGGAUCUAAAGCGUUCGUAGCCGGGUGUUAGUACAAUUCGUGGGAUAAAUCGCUACCAGCCUUAACUGGUGCCGGA